rnacentral:tRNA from 2 species
GGGCCGUUAGCUCAGUUGGCAGAGCAGCUGACUCUUAAUCAGCGGGUCCUAGGUUCGAAUCCUAGACGGCCCACCA